CAUACACACGACAAAAAUAGCUAUUUCUGUUUGUUUUGGACGGAAGGGCCUGCCGUACGGGGGCGUGGCCACGCAGCCGCCGUCCGGCCGUCGCGGUUCACGUGCCGGCGGCGGCGGCGGCCGCUCCUGGACCCGUCGUGGCCCGGCCGGGGACUCCGAGCCUCAGCAGCGAGAUAUAUGUUGUUUUGGGAGGAGAUUUCCGCUGCUCUACUCAUGCCGCCAUCUUGGCUCCACCCUUCAAGAAUUACUCGUAGAGCGCCUGGACCAGCUCCACCAGCACCCACGGCUCCGAGACGGCCGCCAUUCCGAGCCGCUCCGGCUUCCUUCCCUGAAGAGACUCUUUAGAGUGUGAUUUUUUUCUAAAUGGAUCUAACUUUGAAACAAAUUCUAAAGAGGUUAACAUAUCUAGUGGGAAAGAAACGUGAUUACUCUGCAUUCUGUUAGUAUAUACUCUGCACUUCAAACAGUGAAUGAAUACGAGGCCAGAAAAUAUUUCCCUGAGAAAUGACAGUUGAGCCAACAUCAGAGGAUAAGAUGUUUAUGAGCUAACUUGGGGAGAAAGACCAUUCAUACCAGAGAAUAUUAUUGCAAGUGUAAAGACUUGGAGGUAGAUGUGAUCCUG